GCUCGAGUGGCGAACGGGUGAGUAACACGUGAGUAACCUGCCCUUGACUUUGGGAUAACUUCAGGAAACUGGGGCUAAUACCGGAUAGGAGCUCCUGCUGCAUGGUGGGGGUUGGAAAGUUUCGGCGGUUGGGGAUGGACUCGCGGCUUAUCAGCUUGUUGGUGGGGUAGUUGCUUACCAAGGCUUUGACGGGUAGCCGGCCUGAGAGGGUGACCGGCCACAUUGGGACUGAGAUACGGCCCAG
rnacentral:rRNA from 1 species